GAUGAACGCUAGCUACAGGCUUAACACAUGCAAGUCGAGGGGCAGCAUGAAGUCAGCUUGCUGACUUUGAUGGCGACCGGCGCAAGGGUGCGUAACGCGUGAGCAACUUGCCCGUUUCAGGGGGGAUAACCGGUGGAAACGCCGACUAAUACCCCAUAGUAUCAUUUAGAGGCAUCUUUAUAUGAUUAAAGAAUUUCGGAAACGGAUAGGCUCGCGUGACAUUAGCUAGAUGGCGGGGUAACGGCCCACCAUGCCGACGAUGUCUAGGGGUUCUGAGAGGAAGGUCCCCCACACUGGAACUGAGACACGGUCCAGACUCCUACGGGAGGCAGCAGUGAGGAAUAUUGGUCAAUGGCCGGAAGGCUGAACCAGCCAAGUAGCGUGAAGGAUGAAGGUUCUAUGGAUUGUAAACUUCCUUUAUACGGGAAUAAAACCACCUACGUGUAGGUGCUUGUAUGUACCGUAUGAAUAAGCAUCGGCUAACUCCGUGCCAGCAG
rnacentral:rRNA from 1 species